UCGGUAAGAGAUCAGCUUGUACAGUAUCAGUUAGUUGGUGGGGUAAUGGCUUACCAAGACUAUGACGCUUAACUGGUUUGAGAGGAUGAUCAGUCACACUGGAACUGAGACACGGUCCAGACUCCUACGGGAGGCAGCAGUGGGGAAUAUUGCACAAUGGACGAAAGUCUGAUGCAGCAACGCCGCGUGGAGGAUGACACAUUUCGGUGCGUAAACUCCUUUUAUAUGAGAAGAUAAUGACGGUAUCAUAUGAAUAAGCACCGGCUAACUCCGUGCCAGCAGCCGCGGUAAUACGGGGGGUGCAAGCGUUACUCGGAAUCACUGGGCGUAAAGAGCAUGUAGGCGGAUUGAUAAGUUUGAAGUGAAAUCCUAUAGCUUAACUAUAGAACUGCUUUGAAAACUGUUAAUCUAGAAUGUGGGAGAGGUAGAUGGAAUUUCUGGUGUAGGGGUAAAAUCCGUAGAGAUCAGAAGGAAUACCGAUUGCGAAGGCGAUCUACUGGAACACUAUUGACGCUGAGAUGCGAAAGCGUGGGGAGCAAACGGGAUUAGAUACCCCGGUAGUCCACGCCCUAAACGAUGCACACUAGUUGUUGUGAGGCUAGGCCUUGCAGUAAUGCAGUUAACACAUUA
rnacentral:rRNA from 1 species